rnacentral:rRNA from 1 species
AUGCUCGACGGAUUGCCCGAAUCGCGCGCCACCGUCAACGACUUCAAAACUACAGGAUCAUUCUCGCCCUCUAGAGGCAUGUUUUCGGCAGUUGCAGCACGGGCUGAGACUUUGCCAGCCCUUGAGUUGGAGACAUUGAAGCCCAACAGAUGUUUGACAGAAUGCUCCCAUGAUGACGCCAACAAGGUGACCCAUGUGGUUGUGUUAGAUGCAUCUCCAUUGACCACCGCACAGCUCAACAACAUCCUCUGCAACACUUCACCUUGUGCUAUGCCUUGGGUGUGUGAGGAUACUGACGACGAGCAGAUUAGGAAAGGUGGUGUCAUGCAGCCACUAUGGCCACCACGGGCACCGCCAAGUACAUGGCAGUUGCGGUUCGUGGAACAUACUAUUGCAAACUCAACUGAGCUGAAACCAUGGCCAGAUCCAUGGAUGAGCAAGAGCAGUGGAAGUGGAAGCCGGGACAAGCCACCGUGGGCGCAAAACGCUGUCAGUGUUGGAAAGAGUGACAAGCUUCGGGAGCUCUAUGAGAAAAGUGGGUCAAGUUGGAGGUUAACAAAAUCUGGAACACCUGGAACCAUUGGCAGUUUCGAAGAUAUUCGUUGUGCAAACAAUGUCAUGCAAUAUUCCCCGGUUACUACUGCAUUGUUUCCUGUCUUCUGUGGAGGUCACCAUUCUUUCCCCCGACCCUGCUACAAAGAAAGAUGUUCAUUUCUUCAAAUAUCCCAGCUAUAUGUAGGGCUUAGUUGUGUGAAUAUGACAAACCAGAAGCUUGGGUUGACUGAGUUCCCUGAAGAUAGUCGAUUCACAAAUGUGGAAUCAGCCCUUGUUGCAUUACAUUGCAAGGAGUGUCUUUUUCUAGCAGAUUUUGAGAAAUCAAUAGAUUUGGAUGCUAGUAGAAAUUGCAGUAUUCUUGCGGCUGAAAGAAAGAAGGCUGAAUUUAAAUCUGGAGAUCUUGUGCAGGAUCUUGGUAGAAUAAUCAAGGGUUCUGUUGAGCCAGUUCGUGACCUCCUAUCUCAGUUUGACUAUGCUUUGGGUGCCCUUGGAGCUCUAGUAUUAUAUGAUGGGUUGCUAGCAGAUGAUACUAAUUAUGGAAAUUACACGAUUGAGAAAUACAAUUUGGACUGCUACCUGCGCCUUGCUUCUGCCGUGGUGCGAACAUUGAAUAUUGUUGAAGAAAAAACUGAUGGAAACAACAAAUUUAGUUUGUUUGCUUUCAUGAACAGAGUGUGUACUGCUAGGAUGGGACAAGGACUACUUAACAAAUGGCUAUAUGUAAACGAAGUCAAUAACAGAUUAGAUAUGGUUCAGGCUUUCACAGAAAAUCCAGAGCUUCGUCGGGGUCUUAGGCAACAACUUACAAGGAUAUCUGAUCUUGAUCGCCUAACACACACUCUCCAUAAGAAAUCAGCCAAUCAGCCUGUUGUUAAGCUCUACCAGUCCUGCUCUAGAAUCUCAUACAUCAAGGGUGUUCUUCAACAAUACAAUGGCCAAUUUUCUAGAUUCAGGACAAGGUUCCUUGGCUCUUUUGAAGAGUGGAUAACAGAGAAUCGAUAUGUUCCUUAUGUAAGACCAGACAUCACAACAUCGGAGGGAGGAGAUAUUCUUCUACAAGGUGGUUGGCAUCCAUAUAAAGUGCAAUCAGUUGAGAACUACAUGAAGCUUUCUAUGGGCAAUAUUACUCGAGCCUUUCUAGAAUUACACAUCUCUCCUUCGGGGCAACCUGAUUAUGAUCGACAUGUAGCUUCAGCGCCAGGUAUGUUCAUGCGAUCACAGUUUGGGAUAGCAGUAUUUGAGUUUUCUCCAGAUGGUUCAGUUGGCCACUUGCCCCUACAGUUCCCUCUAUUUGUUCAAACCAACAGAAUUGAGAUUUAUUCUCCUUGGAUCCAGUGCUCACCUUUUCUGUGCUGGUUUCAAUCUGCUACAAGAGCAAAUCAUGAGUGGACACCUUGUAUCACAAUGUUCUCAUGCAUUUGUAAGCAUGUGCAGAUGUUCAUAGCAGGGCUUAGUUAUGAGAUGAACCAUCAACCUCAGGCAAAAGAAAGGGUGCAGCACGACAUAGGGUUUGUGCUUGAGUCUUCUUGCCGUCUCUUACCUAUCAAUUGUCCUGGGGAUCUGUUCACUGGAGAGGCUAAAGCUUGCACUUGCCAGUUUGUUGUCAGUUACACUAGUUGUUUCAGAGGUAUCCUGUGCAUGGACAAGAACGAGAUGUCCCACUCUUCAGUUGCAGCUCCAUUUGGCAAUGAACUCCUGUUUUGUUCCUUCGAGCUGACCAUUUGCAAGCAUGUGAUAUUAUCCUAUGACCCAGGAGGGCCGACUCUUUUGCUUGAUGGGAUUGGAGGUAUUCACGAGUUCCACUUGAUCAUCAUCGGCUUGAGGGUAAGCCGAAUUUCAAGGGAGGGAGAGUGUAACACCCCCACUAUGGGCUGUCACCCUACAGUCGCAACCUGGGCCUGGGCUACAAGAUGGGCCAACCAUUGGAGGCUGAGUGGCACAUGGGCUACAUAUGCAGUCGGGAGAGCACAUGAGGAGGGGAUCGAACUGAUUGAAACGUCUGAAUCUUCUCGUCCUCCUGCUCCCGUUCCUCACCCUCCUGCUACCUAUCUCAUCCCUCUGUUGCUGAUCCUCACCCCAAAUUCCCCUUGUAUCUCUUGA